rnacentral:rRNA from 1 species
UUGAUGGACGUUUUAUAACGAAAUAUUGCAAGGAAUAGUGAUUACAUGUUGAGAUCUGCAAUUAUCCAUAAAUUUAGAAAACUAAUCUUUGUUUAUAUAAGAAUUGUUUAAAAAAUUAAACAAAUAACUUGGUGAACUGAAUCAUCUAAGUAACCAAGAAUCUAAAUCAACCGAGACACUGUAAUUAGUGGCGAGCGAACGCAGUGAUAGACUUUGAAGAUCCAAAACUAUUAUUUAACACAUAAGUGGCCAAAGAAGGUAACCUAAAUUAAAAGGAGAGCCCUGUAAAAUAAAAUUUAGAUUUUCAUUUUAGUAGGAUGGAACAAGUCAUGUUUUGUCUGAAUAUUGGGGGCCCACCCUCAAAGUCUGUAAGUUUUAAUGACUGAUAGUGAAAAGUACCGUGAGGGAAAAGUGAAAAAGACUUUGCGAAAGUGAAAAGACUUUGAAAUUUAAUGCUGACAAUCUGUCAUAGUUUUUUAAAAUGAUGACGUACCUUUUGUAUAAUGGACCAACAAGUUUAUUUUAGUGGCGAGCUUAAAUAAUUUAUAUGUAGGCGUAAAGAAAUUAAGUUUUAAAAUGCUUUUUAGUCUCUGAAAUAAGACCCGAAACUAAGUGAUCUAACCGUGGGCAGGUUGAAGUUUAGGCGGAAACGCCUUUCGGAGGACCGAACCCGUGUAUGUGGAAAAAUACUGGGAUGACCUGCGGUUAGGGGUGAAAGGCCAAUCAAACUUAGAGAUAGCUGGUUUUCUGCGAAAUCUAUUUAAGUAGAGCGUUUAAAGAACUUUUUUAGGGGUAGAGCUCUCGAUAAGCAAUGGGGGUUUAACGCUUUACUGAGUUUAUUGAAACUUCGAAUACUAAAUUAAAAGACUUUAAGCAGACAGACUAUGAGUGCUAAGAUUCAUAGUCAAGAGGGAAACAGCCCAGACUAUUAACUAAGGCUCCUAAAAAUAAUUAAGUGAUAAAAUUGUUAAAAAAUGUUGACAACCGAAAGGUAGGCUUAGAAGCAGCCAUCCUUUAAAGAAAGCGUAACAGCUCAUUGGUUUAGUUUUUUUGCAUUGAAAAUGUAUGGAACUAAAAUUAUUUGCCGAAGUUAUAGAUUUAUAAAAGAUAAAUGGUAGCAGAACGUUCUGUAAGCUUAAGAAGUUUUAUAGUAAUAUAAAGUGGAGGCAUCAGAAAUGAAAAUGUUGGUAUGAGUAACGAUAAACAAUGUGUAAAACAUUGUCGCCUUAAGUCCCAGGUUUCCAAAACAAGGCUAAUCCGUUUUGGUGUUAAUCGGCCUCUAAGAACGAAAACGAAAGUUUUGAUUUGAUGAGAAAUAUAUAAAUUCUUAAAAAGUGACAAAGUACAAAUAUUAUUUUUAUUUUAUGGUUUGAAUAAAAGUUUUAUAGUGUUUUCUGGAAAUAGCUUUUAAGAUUUAAAACCGUACCUUAAACCGACACAGGUGGACAAGUUUAGUAAACUAAGGCGCUUGAGAGAAUUACGUUGAAGGAACUCGGCAAAAUGACUCCGUAACUUCGGGAUAAGGAGUGACUUUAUUAGGGCAACCUUCUAAAGUUGUCACAAAAUCGGGGACAGCGACUAGUUAAUAAAACUACAGGUUUCUGCUAAUUUGUAAAAAGAUGUAUUGAAACUGACGCCUGCCCAGUGCUGCAAGAUUAAAGGAAGAGGUCUUUUGGCUUUGACCCUAACUCCCAGUAAACGGCGGCUGUAACUCUGACGGUCCUAAGGUAGCGAAAUUCCUUGGCAUUUAAUUGGUGUCCUGCAUGAAUGGCGUAACGACUGUCCCACUGUCUCCAACGUAAACUCAGUGAAAUUGAAUUUUCCGUGAAGAUGCGGAAUUCCUGCGGCUAGACGGAAAGACCCCGUGCACCUUUACUGCAGUUAUAUAUUGUAAUGAAAUUUUUUUUGUGUAGAAUAAGUGGGAAAUUGUUAAUAUCUGUUUACACAAGUAAAUAAGUUAAAUGUCGUUGAAAUACCACUCUGAAAAUUUUUCAUUACUUAUUUUAUUUAAAAAACAGUGUAUAAUGGGUAGUUUGACUGGGGCGGGCGCCUCCUAAAG